AUUGAACGCUGGCGGCAGGCUUAACACAUGCAAGUCGAACGAGUGGCGGACGGGUGAGUAAUGUCUGGGAAACUGCCCGAUGGAGGGGGAUAACUACUGGAAACGGUAGCUAAUACCGCAUACCAUCGGAUGUGCCCAGAUGGGAUUAGCUAGUAGGUGGGGUAACGGCUCACCUAGGCGACGAUCCCUAGCUGGUCUGAGAGGAUGACCAGCCACACUGGAACUGAGACACGGUCCAGACUCCUGCGGGAGGCAGCAGUGGGAAAUAUUGCACAAUGGGCGCAAGCCUGAUGCAGCAAAGCCGCGUGUGUGUAGGAUGCUUGCGGGUUGUAAAGUACUUGCAGCGAGGAGGCAAUACUCGCGGAAGAAGCCCCGGCUAACUCCGUGCCAGCAGCCGCGGUAAUAC
rnacentral:rRNA from 1 species